GAGGCAUGAUUGAAAAGCUUACUGAGAGUAACCGCACUUCACAAAAAACGAAAUCCGUGACUCAGCCUGGCUCAGAGGCACCCGUCCAUGCUUAUAUCACUCUGUUAAGCAACACUGCUGUAUUUCCAGCAUCUCAAGGACCCUUGGGGGCAUAUCGCUGCAUCGUUGUUCAAGAAAUCAAGACUAGAAAUCGAGUGCACAAGGAUGAGAGCUUUCCCUGCAGUCACAUAGCUAGUAAGGGGUUCAGAGCUGGCCGCUGACUCAGAUGGACUAGCUCCACGGGCCAAUGCUCCAAAUAUAACAGGCGUGAGGAUAACAGGAGGCCAGGUCUGUCUCCUGAGAGGCCUCCUGGGUUAGUCAAGGCUGCAGGACCAGAUAUACUGAGUGGAUCUGAGUUCAGAGACAGAGUCAGGCUGCCCCACUCCAGUAGACAAAUGUAGCAAACCUCUAUCUGGUAAUUUGAGGGCAGAAAGGACUUUGGGGUGCUAAUCAGGAUGGGAUCCACGCUUUCUCUGGAAAAUGCCUACUCAGCCUAUAAGAAAUAUGCAAGAGACAGAAGUAAAAUCAGAAGGUUACCAAAAUAGCCUAAGGCUUACAUAUCCUAUGUCCAAAUUUAUACCUGACCCAGGAACCUAACAGGCUGUGACCUGGAGCCAGCAAUGUCCCUUCCCCAGCUCAUUCUUCUCAGGGGACAUGCCGAGGCUUGUUGGCAGAAAAUGGGAAGAAACUCUGGUUUGUUGGAGGUUUUAAACACAGAAGAUGGCAAGAUGUGGUACUUGGACCAAAAGAAGUGGCUGUCUUAAAAAGAAAAGAAAUUCUUAGGGCACCUGGGUGGCUCAGUCGGUUGAGCAUCCGACUUCGGCUCAGGUCAUGAUCUCACAGUCUGUGAGUUCGAGCCCCGCAUCGGGCUCUGUGCAGACAGCUGGGAGCCUGGAGCCCGCCUCAGAUUCUGUGUCUCCCUCUCUCUCUGCCCCUCCCCUGCUCAUGCUCUGUCUCUCUCUAUCUCAAAAAUAAAUAAAAACAUUAAAAAACA
rnacentral:lncRNA from 1 species